UCUUUUUAGCUGGAUUGAUGGAGUUUCACUCUCUAUCUUUUCAAAGUUGUUCAUCCUCCUCCAUAACAAUCCCCUUGAAAGAACCAACACAGAUUUUGAUGAGCUUUGACAUCAUCGGAUUAGUAACUUACCAGAUGCAAACAUCCCUUAUAGUCUUAUCUCUGGAUUAGGAUCCUAGUCCAUGAUAAGUUAUUAGAGGCUAAUCGAUGAGGAAGGUAGAUUGCAUAUUAAUUCAUUUUACUGAGAUUUUAUUAAAGAUUUGCUUAAUUAUACAGCCGAAAGAGAUUCCACCAGCUUAUUGACUUGUUAAUUUGCUUCAGGAUGGUUAGAAGAUGAAAGUGCUGGGAUGACUUUGUUCGGUGGUUAACAUUUGGAUCUUAUAAUCUCCAGGAACAUGAGUUGGACUUGAAGAUCCGAAUUAACACUGGAGAAAUUCUUCCUUUUCUUCCUAUAUCUUCUUUUGACCCUCAUGCCUUUUAAGAUUGGAUGGCCUCCAGUUUUAGCAAACAAGAAUAGAUUAAUGUUGCUAGAUGAUUCGGUUGGUUGUUGUGGGAUAGAAGCCACUAACUUUCUUAUUGUUGGUAGAAAUGACAUUGAUCACAGGAUACGCUGACAUUAUUGACAUGAUAUUAUCCUGAACUAAACAGAAGAACUUAUGACAGAAACCUGCAGGCUGUUGAGUGAGGUUAUUUGAAGCCUCUAUAAUGUGUUGAAAUUGUAUUCCAGGGUCUUUAGCUUGUCUUUGGAAAAAAAUCGAUGUAGAUUAUGGGUUGAUAAUCGUAAAAUGUAUAAUAAAUUGGAGAUUAUUUUUUCUCUUUCA